rnacentral:rRNA from 1 species
AGUGAACGCUGGCGGUAGGCCUAACACAUGCAAGUCGAACGGCAGCACAGUAAGAGCUUGCUCUUACGGGUGGCGAGUGGCGGACGGGUGAGGAAUACAUCGGAAUCUACUUUUUCGUGGGGGAUAACGUAGGGAAACUUACGCUAAUACCGCAUACGACCUACGGGUGAAAGCAGGGGAUCUUCGGACCUUGCGCGAUUGAAUGAGCCGAUGUCGGAUUAGCUAGUUGGCGGGGUAAAGGCCCACCAAGGCGACGAUCCGUAGCUGGUCUGAGAGGAUGAUCAGCCACACUGGAACUGAGACACGGUCCAGGCUCCUACGGGAGGCAGCAGUGGGGAAUAUUGGACAGUGGGCGCGAGCCUGAUCCAGCCAUACCGCGUGGGUGAAGGAGGCCUUCGGGUUGUAAAGCCCUUUUGUUGGGAAAGAAAAGCAGCAGGUUAAUACCCCGCUGUUCUGACGGUACCCGAAGAAUAAGCACCGGCUAACUUCGUG